GAUGAAGAACGUAGCGAAAUGCGAUAAGUAAUGUGAAUUGCAGAAUUCAGUGAAUCGUCGAAUCUUUGAACGCACAUUGCGCCCGCCAGUAUUCUGGCGGGCAUGCCUGUUCGAGCGUCAUUUCAACCCUCAAGCCCCCGGGCUUGGUGUUGGGGAUCGGCGUGCCCUCGCGGCGCGCCGUCCCCUAAAUCUAGUGGCGGUCUCGCUGUAGCUUCCUCUGCGUAGUAGCAACACUCGCACUGGAUCGCAGCGCGGCCACGCCGUUAAACCCCCCACUUCUGAAAGUUUGACCUCGGAUCAGGUAGGAAUACCCGCUGAACUUAAGCAUAUCAAUAGCGGAGGA
rnacentral:misc_RNA from 1 species